UACGAAGGGUGCAAGCGUUACUCGGAAUUACUGGGCGUAAAGCGUGCGUAGGCGGUUUCUUAAGUCUGCUGUGAAAGCCCCGGGCUCAACCUGGGAAUUGCAGUGGAUACUGGGGAGCUAGAGUGCGGUAGAGGGUAGUGGAAUUCCGAGUGUAGAGGUGAAAUUCGUAGAUAUUCGGAAGAACACCAGUGGCGAAGGCGACUUACUGGACACAUAUUGACGCUGAGGUGCGAAAGCGUGGGGAGCAAACAGG
rnacentral:rRNA from 1 species